AGAAACGAGCAGUAGCACUAUGCUGUUCCUUCACUCUGGUAUUGCUCUCUACCCAGAGCCCUGUGUCUUUUCUUAAGAAGACUACCUGGCUUAUCCUCUGUCUGGGCUUUUCUGGCCAUGAGGACAUAGAGUGAAGAUUUUGGAGCUCUGUCCCCUGUGUCCUGGCAUUUAAUUAUUUCUCAAGACACGUGAGCUAAAUCUGAGUAGAAGAGCUUGGCAGAAAGAAAACCACCAGUUACGGCUUCUGAGGGCCCAGUCUCUGGAAUGGUUCUACAAUAAUGUGAAGAGCCGCUUCAAGCGCUUUGGCAGUGCCAAGGUUCUGAAGAACCUGUACAGGAAGCACCGGCUGGAGAGUGGUGUGUGCUUCGACAUUCUAGGAGGAAGCCUUUUUGAGUCAAACCUGGAGAAUGAAGGAAGCAUUUCUGGCAGUGAUUCAACAUUUUAUAGACAGUCAGAAGGACAUAGUGUGAUGGACACCUUGGCUGUGGCCCUACGGGUGGCUGAAGAGGCCAUUGAGGAAGCGAUUUCUAAAGCAGAAGCAUAUGGGGACAGCCUGGACAAGCAAAAUGAGGCCAGUUACCUGCGGGACCACAAGGAGGAGCUAACUGAGGAACUGGCCACG
rnacentral:sRNA from 1 species